GCUGGGCGUGGUGGCGCACACCUGUAAUCCCAGUGGCUCAGGGGGCUGAGGCAGGAGGAUCUCCAAACCAGCGUCAGCCAAAGUGAGGCCCUAAGCAACUCAGGGUGACCCUGUCUCUU
rnacentral:sRNA from 1 species